GAGGGAGGGGGCAGAGCCGCGGCAAGGCACCGCCGCCAGGCGGGGGGCACCGGGGCACCGCCGCUGAGUCACCGCCGGCCCCGUGCACCCCUACGCGGGGCUGGCCCCGAGGGGCGAGGGGCGCCGGUGGCGGGGUCGGUGCCGCCCGGAGCCCACCCCCGGACCCCCGCCCGCUUCGCCCCGGGCCUGGCCGUGGCUCCCUGCGGUCCUUGGGCCGAGCCAGGGGCGGACAGGGAAGGCCUCAGCCUCCGCGUUUGGCCCUCGCUCCCUGGCGGCCCCUCCGGGUCGCCCCGGUCCCGUUAGGAACUCUGCAGUGAGCUGCUCGGGAAAAACGGGAGGCAGCGCUUCUGUGUCAUCGUGUUUUUUAUUUUAUUAUUUAUUUUAUACAGGGCCUGGUGUUAAGCUGCCCCGGGAGCACAGCUGUGUAACGUGUCCGAGCAUGAAGGGCCUGUGAGGCCACGCGGAUGCGCUCAGAGUAUCCUUGAAACAAACAUAGAAGUAGCACUUUAAUGUGCAACGUUUCAGAGUGUAUGGAGGAUGUGGUUCAAAUUCUGUUCAUGUAAGAAUGAAGAUCUGAUUGCUGGAAAGAGAUGUUUUGGAAGACUUUUCUCCCUGAAUUCCAUCAUAUAUUCAUACCCAGGCCAAAAUUCUUUCAAGUUGUUCCUCCUGAGUCACAUUUUCUGCCUCUUACCAUCCUAAUCAUGCUCCUGAAAGUGCUGUUUAAUGCUCAGUACAGGUCACAUUACUCCAGCCGAGACCUCACCAGUCCUGAAUCAACUGCGCAGUUUACUUCACGUGUUUUACCAAUGGCAAUUCUAUUUUUACUUCUCAGUAAAAUGUUUGCUUUUUUUGCAAUCACGCAACACCAUCAACUCAUGUUCAGUUUGUGGGCCGAUAUAGCCCCAUGUCCUUUCCUGCAGGGAUGCAGGCUGAAUGAGUUGGCAGUAUCAAGUCCAAUUUGGCAGAAACACAAGGCUAACUUUAAAAAAGAGGAAUUGUUUAAUGAUUUAAGAAUAGAACUGAAGCAUUUGUAAAGUUUCUAUUAUGUAAACAUUUCACAGCAGCAUUAGCAAGCCAAACUUGUACUCGGUAAUUUGAAAAGGAAAUUCAUUUUUUGAUCAUUAGGAAGCAUAUUUUUAGUUAGUUAAGCUGAAGAAGUAAAAAUUAAACAGCAUACAAAAUACAACAUUAUUGUUUAAUUUUGAUAAUUUUUUAUAAACUGAAAGCAUUUGUAAUACAAA